rnacentral:rRNA from 1 species
GACGAACGCUGGCGGCGUGCUUAACACAUGCAAGUCGAACGGAAAGGCCCUGCUUUUGUGGGGUGCUCGAGUGGCGAACGGGUGAGUAACACGUGAGUAACCUGCCCUUGACUUUGGGAUAACUUCAGGAAACUGGGGCUAAUACCGGAUAGGAGCUCCUGCUGCAUGGUGGGGGUUGGAAAGUUUCGGCGGUUGGGGAUGGACUCGCGGCUUAUCAGCUUGUUGGUGGGGUAGUGGCUUACCAAGGCUUUGACGGGUAGCCGGCCUGAGAGGGUGACCGGCCACAUUGGGACUGCGAUACGCCCCAGACUCCUACGGGGGGCAGCAGUGGGGAAUAUUGCACAAUGGGCGGAAGCCUGAUGCAGCAACGCCGCGUGCGGGAUGACGGCCUUCGGGUUGUAAACCGCUUUCGCCUGUGACGAAGCGUGAGUGACGGUAAUGGGUAAAGAAGCACCGGCUAACUACGUG